AGCAGCGAUGUGAAGCAAAUCGCACCAAAGCCGGUCCCAGUUCGGAUAAGAGGCUGAAACUCGCCUCUUUGAAGUCGGAAUCGCUAGUAAUCGCAGAUCAGCAUGUUGCGGUGAAUACGUUUCCUGGUCUUGUACACACCGCCCGUCAAACCAUGAGAGUCGCCAACACCCGAAGUCCGCUUUGCGGCCUAAGGUGGGGGAGAUGAUUGGGGUUAAGUCGUAACAAGGUACC
rnacentral:rRNA from 1 species